rnacentral:rRNA from 1 species
CCUACGGGAGGCAGCAGUGAGGAAUAUUGGUCAAUGGCCGAGAGGCUGAACCAGCCAAGUCGCGUGAGGGAAGACGGCCCUACGGGUUGUAAACCUCUUUUGUCGGGGAGCAAAGCGAGUCACGUGUGACUCAUUGAGAGUACCCGAAGAAAAAGCAUCGGCUAACUCCGUGCCAGCAGCCGCGGUAAUACGGAGGAUGCGAGCGUUAUCCGGAUUUAUUGGGUUUAAAGGGUGCGUAGGCUGUGAGGUAAGUCAGCGGUGAAAUGCCCCCGCUCAACGGGGUGAAGUGCCAUUGAUACUGCCUUGCUGGAAUGCGGAUGCCGUGGGAGGAAUGUGUGGUGUAGCGGUGAAAUGCAUAGAUAUCACACAGAACACCGAUUGCGAAGGCAUCUCACGAAUCCGCGAUUGACGCUGAUGCACGAAAGCGUGGGUAUCAAACAGGAUUAGAUACCCUGUAGUC